CAUCUAUAUUGUUGAGGUUGGUUGGCUCGCCGAGCUGGUUUCUUGUUUUGUAGACGUUUCGUUACCGUGCUUGGUAACAGCCUCAGCACAGCCUUUGAUGAAGCAUCGCGGAGAGGGGCAGGAAGAGCGGGAGCAGAGAGCGGAAGAAGUGGAGCUUGCUGGGAAGAUGAUCACAUAAUGAAGACGACGACAACUGCAGAGGAGCCACGGACCAAGGGACUGACCCUACUACAAACCAAGCCAGGCUAUUAAUGGAACGACAAAAAAAAAGGAUCAUGGAUGCAACAUAAUUUGGUGAAAAAUACUCUUUGAAUUUGCCUUGGACGUUUGACCUCUGAUUUGGAUAGCAUCAAUUUCUAGUGGCCCUGCAGCCAUGAUGCGGCCUUGGGCUUGGGGAUCCAUACCUGGCCACAUUAGGUGACUUGUACCUGAACGCUCUAAGCAGCCCAUAUAUGCUUACCAGAUAGCAGACAUAAGCUAAGCAAAACUGAGCAGCCUGCUCACGCAGUGAAAUACAACACCAGAAGUGGUAGAAGUGGACAGAAGUGCUAGAAACGUCAGUAAAAAAAAAAAGAGCAUUCCCACCCGAGACGGUUCUAAUAAAAGGAUGUCUCAGGAGAGGUAAGUGGCCAAUCCCAGCUUUAAUAAUGAAAGGAGGACUGUCAUAACAUUAAGGGGCUGGAUUAGGUCCUAUAGCAGCUGCAGAGUUAACAGCUAAAGUUACUUUGUAGUAAAUAGUUGCCUCUUUGAAGCUACCAACAAUAUUAAAUAGUUUCUAGCUAAAAAUGCUCUAAUCAAUGAAGUUGGUUUCAAUACAUAACCAGGAUAGAAUAUAAGCUUAGACAUAGUACGAAUUGCAGAUGCCCGAAAUGUCAGCUUUCCUGCUCCUCUGAUGCUGCUUGGCCUGCUGUGUCCAUCCAACUCUACACCUUGUUCUCUUAGAAUACAAGCUUAAAUGUUUAAGGCUUGUAUGUGAAGCUUAACUAGCCUUAGGAGACACCUCUUCUGCCCGGAACAAGAUAGAUUGAUCACAACCUGUCAAUUACAACAUGCUGACAGAAGUAGUUGUAUAACAUUACACUUCCAAUCAACUUUAUAACAGAAAUUAAACUUACAGCAGUUAAUUAAAACUGACACUUCAUAAUGUAAAGAGAGAGUUGGGACAGUAGGAAAUUAAGAGGAACUGAAUGUGAUACAAGACAGCACCAAAAUACAAUGGGUAAUAGAAUUUGAGAUGCUCUUACAGAUUAGGAAGCCAGAGAAAGGCCCGAAGGAGUUCAGCCACUAAACAUUUGGAAUGUGAUAUGAAUAGGAUGAAAAUUAAGAUCCCACGGCCAGGAGACUACAAUGUCUAGCUAAUACCAUAAGAUCAUGGGAACCUAAGGCUGUCCAUGGAUGUGUCCAUCACUGAUUAGAUAUCCUACAGGAUUGGGUGUUUGAAUUAGGGGGCAGGACGUUGUACUCGAUUGUCACAAAAUGUUUAAAAAUGCUGUAUUACUUUGUAAAAGCACAGGGUGUAUUAUUGAUCUAUCUUCCAGAGUCAGAUUUAUGGAAGAUCUUUAAACCAUCUCCCUGCACAAACCAGUUUCUGCUGGAAUAAACACCUUUCAC